CAAAUUUAUCGUCCAUAACCACCCCAAGCCAGAGAACAAUGAUGGAGUUACUCCAAGAUAAUCAAUGUUAUUGCUUCCCCUGCAAUGAUCCUAACACAUUCCCCAUUCCCUUCGUCCGCAUGUAUGUCCUGUUUUACGAAAAUAUCAAACAACUUUUCUUGUGGUAAUUCCGUGAAAUUCAGGAGGAUCCAAAAAUACAUUUCACAUAUGUAAUUGGUUCCAAAUCUAAAUGCAUAAACUGAAGCCGCGAGAAAAGUAAAUUCAUUACUUUGGAUUUCAUAAAAAGGAGUCCGCAAAACAACAAUCAUGGGUGGUUAUCCAGAAAAAGUAACGCGCCUUCCAAUUUUAAUUUAAUAGCGUCCAACACCUCACACAUAUUGUAGGUAAGGUGAGUCACAUAGACGGCUUCUUUUCUUUCUUUUCUUGAUUACCCACACAAACAGAUUCUAUUUACAAAUAGACCAAGUGAGAAAACAUAUUUCCUAAAGAAUUUUGGUAUUCGAAGUUUGAAAAGAUAGGAAUUACCAGAUACCAAUAUAUUUUAUGUCGCGAAUCUUGAGGGUGUUGCAACAACAACAUUCUCCUUUUUUCCCAAAUUUAAUUUCAAUUUAGGCCGAGAGCAGGUAAAUCUAGUUGGAAAAGAGGUAGAAUGUAAUCACUUACGUUUGACGUGAUGAAGAACAAUCGGGAUAAGAAGGGUACAAAGCUGAUUUUGAGGAAAUGGUGAAUUUUGAACAUCAUC
rnacentral:lncRNA from 1 species